rnacentral:lncRNA from 1 species
UUUUUUUUUUCUCUUUUUUUAUUUUAUUUUAUUAUUAUUAUACUUUAAGUUCUAGGGUACAUGUGCACAAUGUGCAGGUUAGUUACAUAUGUAUACAUGUGCCAUGCUGGUGUGCUGCACCCAUUAACUCGUCAUCUAGCAUUAGGUAUAUCUCCCAAAGCUAUCCCUCCCCUCACGGCAUAAUCUCUUAUAAAUAAAUGUCAGUGUAGUCACUGAAUGCAGACUGGAUUUUUGCCUGACUACGGUGCUCAGCCUUCUAGACAAUAGUUAUGCUAAGGGAUUAUCUUUUAACAUUGUGCAGUUAUCUCCUUUGUUUGUUUUCUUUUUUCAUUAUUCACAUAAGCCAAGGGAAAUGAAAAGCAUCUUAUUUCAGGCAAAAAGGCCUGUGAAUGAUUAACUCUGGUUCCAUGCGUUGGGACUUUGCAUAGCAACCCCGUGGCUUGCAACGACAAAAAAGCUCAAGGCAGGAACAGCAGCCCAGGGACCUGAGACCAGCGUUCUCAAAUGAAGGUGCCAGAUCUGCUGUUAGAGGAGAAUUCUUCUGUCCUAGCUGUGUCUCUGUGAUCUGUGGAUGAGGGUGGGAAAGCACCACUCAGUCAAUUGGGGUGUACAAAAUGGAGUUUGAGAAGGGAUAGGCAUGAAAGAACCUGAUAGAGAUAAUCCACAGUGGAAGGGCUGCAGUACCUCCAGAGCAAGUGUGGACUAUAAACAGAAAACAGGAAGAGGAGCCUGGGGAAAACAGAAUCCAGAAAGCACACUGGAGAAAAGAAAACUCAAUAUAAAACUUAAUGCCUGGAAGAGAACUAAAGACUCAUCAGAAACUUCUUGAAAGGACACCUCAGGAAGAUGCCAGCUGAGGUGGUGGCUGAGGAGGCAUCCAGUUGCUCUGCCACUCUUUUGACCUGAAGUGAAAUAGAAGGUCUGGGGUUAUGCAGGUCUCACAUCCAGGUUGUUUUGAAGCAAAGUCCAAGCAUUGUAUCACUUCAUCUGCAAAUAUUUCAAUAAGUACCCAAAAGGUAUGGAACAGUCACACUAAACAUACUGCAGUCAUACCAAUGAGAAGGCAAAAUAAAUAAAUAAAUAAAUAAACAAAAAAUACCCCCCCCCCAAAAAAAACACCAAAAAACCAAAAAACAAACAAAUGAAAAACAGAGAACAAAAACCAACACAAAAACCCAAGAACUAGCUGGUGGAUUUGUCAUUCUUGUAUGAAAAUUUCUACUUGCCUACAGUGAUGGCUUUCCUGCUUUGGGUUUUUAUAGUAUUUGGCUUUUUGUGAGAUUCGUAUAUUUAAAAUAAAAUUUAAUAUCUAUUAAAUAUUAAAGCUACUUGCUGGCUAGUAGUUUCAAUAAUUUAUUAUGUAUAUCUUGUACAAUGUCCUAGUUUCUUAUUUUUUGUUUUUCUUAGAGCCUCGUAGAGCUUAGAUUAGAGUGAGCUGAGUGAGGCACUCAGCUUGGAGACCCAAUUUAAGGGGGUUUCAAAUACCUCAAUAAUGAAAUUUUAAUGAAAUAUUUAAAAAAUCAAAAUUAAUGCAAAAAAUCCACGAUGAACAUCUUAUCAAAAUUUUAAAUAAAGACAAGACCUACUCUGCACUUGAACAAUUCUGUCUCAUUCACCUCACCCUAAUCCUGGCCCUGGUUCCAAUGAAACUUAGUUUAAAAACAAGCAUCUAGCCCCCGGGGCAUAGUUUAUUGGUUAGAAACAAAAUCACAUUAAGCUCUUAUUGAUUACUGCAUUUUCUGGCACCCCUUAAUAUUUUGCAUCCUAGUCCUGGUCCUACCUCUCAGCUACCCUUAGAGUUGAUUAAAUCCCACUGUAUUACUUCUAUAGGUAAAGUUUAUGUGAAAGCUCACAGAGGUGAUAGGACUAGCCCAGGUUGAGCAGACAAGAAAUAAUAGGGUUAAACUUACCAUGGUUUUAUGUCCUCUAUCUUCCCAAUUAAAUUCCUUGAGGAUAAUAUUUUCGGUUCUUAUUUCUUUCUGUUAUACAGUGCCAUGAGUAAAGCAGUCUCCCCAACCCCUGUACUUGUGAUUGUCCUGCUAUCUGCCUACCAUCAGUUAUUUGUGUGACCUUAAAGGAGCUGCGUAGUUCUUGUUGUCUACAUGGCAUCCCAAUUCUGGGUAAAUUCAAUGAAAUAGAAAAGAAAAGAGUAGAAAGUUCUAGGCCAUUUUUCUUUAUAAACUUUUUUAAAAAUAUCACUCUAUGAGCAUUACUAUGUGCAGCUAAGGAACAGACAGCAAAAAAUCUGUGCUGAGCUAUGCAUGUAAGGCUUGAGGCUUGGCUUACAGGACAGUUAAUCUUUCGGUCUUGGCAAAAUUUCAAAUCACCAUGCAUCUUGGGCCUUCAAAUUUACUCACAAAUUAUUGGUACUACAAUCUUUAAUCUUAUACUUUUCAUAUUAAAUGCACUCUCUUCAGAUUUUUUUUUCUCCUGGGAAAGUCAGUGGCUGCAAUUUUCACCUGUGUAUCUCUAAACUUACACCGCUAAGCCUAUUCUUUCAUGUGAAUCCAGCCCCACAUCUGAUGGCAGCAGGAUAUUGGCUUUGGUUUGUGAAACUUAACACCUAAGGAUUGUAGCAUAAUGUGGACAUGGUAUAGGGAGAUGGGAGAACUGGCUUCUAGACCUGGUGGGGCCAUUAACCCUCUAAGUGAAUUUGGAGAAUUGACUUCACCAGACAUUCGGAGAAACCCUGAAGACUCCCUGCAACGCAGUUUUCUAACCAGCCUGCUGAAAUAAUUCUGAACUCCGCUUAGUGUUUUGAAUUGCUUUGUGUUUCUAUUUGUACCAAUCUGACAUGGUAGUAAAACAAGGUGUAGAAGAAGCUUUGGCCCUGACAGAACCAAGCAAAACUGAGAUAUGUCUCAAGUUUACAAAAGUCGGUGCUGCUGCCGGGAGCCUUCAUAUUUUACUUUUCUUCAACUCAAGCCUCUUGAGAGAAUGGCCUAGUUAGAAUAAUAUUAAUCUAACACAAGUAAAAGAAAAAUGAAACCAACUGCUUUUCUUUCUAAGCCCACAAAGAAACAGUAACUGGGCUUCUCUGGAGAAACGUAAAGUCAACCUCAGAUGUGCUCACAGGCUGGAUGAAGCUUAAAGGGAAAAUCAGUAUUUCAUAUUCAUGGUUUCUGAUGUAACAUUUUGCUAGGACAGUCAGAAGGGAUUAAUACUAUUUGUUGUAAAAUAUCCACAGUGUUAUUUUUAUAAGGAUAACCAGACUGAGGAUGAUAUUCUUAGGUUCCACCUGGUUUUCACACUUUUGGUGAAGUAAAAUUUAAUUGAGUUUUCAAAGGUAGGAAAAUAUUCUAUUGCUGGGAAAUAUAGCGUAAAGGAUUUCUGCAUGCUUCCUCUGGGUUUUUCCUGUGAGCUUUAAAUUAGGAUUUUCUGCCAAUUUUCUGGCAGAAGCAGAGGAGACAUAGCAGUUUUGCUGAUGGUUUUGAUUAUGAAUUGUCUAUAUGGCAUCAAUAAAAAUAACUAGAACUAGGUCUGAUGGGCACUGAACUUGCUUAAAAUGCUAAUAAAAAUUAUAAGAGAAGGGAACGAAUCUUAAAUUUUAGAUAUUUUUUCUUAUAGUCCAUAUGGAAAGACCAUUUCUGUUAAAAGUACAAUAACUAGAGAAGAAUAUGUUCUCUUCAAAGUGCCAAUAAAAAUUCAAAAUGUCAUUUUCCAGUGCAAUUCGGCCUGAAAUCAACCUGUUUUAUGGUAAUUAUGGGCUCUGGCACCAGAACAUAGCAGAGCUUUAGAAACAUUGAAUGAGUGAUUGAGUCCAACCUCCAUAAAUGUGAAACAUAUGAAAUGAUUUGGGUAAAGUAAAAACCAGAGAGCGUUGUCACCCUCCCUACCUUGAGCUAUGCAUAAAGCUGCGUUAAUGUAGUGGAGUAGUCAUAUCAGAAUGAGGGAGAGGGUGAGAUAUGUGGUAGAGGGGAAUUUUCUUGUAAAGGUAUAAACUGUGAGAAAGAGAUGAUGAUGCCCAAUGUGGGCAAAAAAUGCCUUUUCAUUGGCAAGAUUCGGGUAUAUCACUAUGAAAAGAAAACCAUAUAUAUUUCUUGUAACUACUGCAGCGGCAGGCAUAAGGACCCGGUAAUGCAUCAUCAUAUGCUACAUGGCAGCUUAUCAGGAGUGGCUACUCGAGCCAAGAGAAACGUGGCAACACUUCUUACUUGCUUCUCUUUUGCAAGCGUAACCUGAGCCCCUUGUGAUACAGGUGUCUUGGCAAAAGGAUUGCCUUAGAUUAGUUUUAGCCUGUAAAACGGGAGAAAAAUAAAAGCAUUUCAAUCUUAUAGUGUUCAGAUGUCCCAAAUUAUGGACCCAAUAGAGUAGUGGCUGAAUCUUCUUAAGUAUUAUUUAUUUUUAAACAAAUGUUUGAAUAGUAAUAUAACCAUUAAAGAUACUGAGCCAGUAGCAAAACAGAUGGGAGGCGCUCAAUCAGUGUUUAGGGGAUCUAGAAGAAGAUUUGUUUUCAACUGAGAGAAAUGAGAUUCAUAAUAUUCUCACUUUAAGUGUAAUUUUAGGAGGAAAUUCUACCCACAACUUUGAAAUAUUCUGGUGUAUGUAAUGAUUGCUUUCUUUCUUCAGUUAGAUCUAUUUCCAGAACAAGGUUGCCACCUCUUACCUUAUAUUCUAUUUCUUAACCUUGGUGCCUUUGAGAUAGACUUUGGAGAGUGGGUCUAAUGUUGACAGAUGGAUAGAGAGGGGAUAGAUUCUAUGAAAGACAAAGGAUGAGGCCAAAACCACAUGCAUGGGAAAUCAGAGCAUCUCUGGGCAUUAUAGGAAAAAAGAAUUUUGUACAGGGCUACAUUAUUAAAGGCCUGAGAUGUUAAUCCAAAACAUCAUUUAGUUUUCUGACUAAGAAAUUGUGUUUCAAAUAGUAUCAAAGAAAACUAGAUGAAUUUCCCAUCAAAUUCUCUAUUUUCUUUUUCUAUCUCGAAAGAUAACACAGAGUCUAGGGGUUUGGAUAGGUCAGAGGAAGAUCACUGAAUUCAGGUUUACUCCACCGAGGAGGAGCAGGGUCAGGGUGGAAAUUCAGAAGUGCUCAAAUAUACCAUUUUUAUCACAAGCAGGCUGACCACUAGGAAGGGAGAAGAUAGAAGGUGAAGAUUUGUUAGGGAAUUGCAGAGAGCUGAAGACUCAUAUGCUGGAGAUGGCUCAUACCUGCUCUCUAGAGCCGAUGGAUACAUUUCCAAAGUUUGCAAAUCAAUUGUUAAACACAGCCAUUAUUAAAAAUUACAUUACAAACUUACAAUAAAUUACUUGAGAAACAAAGGCAAUAAGUACUACAACUCAUCACACCUUAAUAACGAUACAUUAUUAUUAUCUAUGCUCUUGAGGUUAUUCCCAUCGAUUGUAUCUGUCUGGUGAAAAUAUGAUCUGAAAGUGAACUACUGUGCAUCUCUUUCCAACCCUGUAUUUGGUAAUAUAUCACAUUGGUAGCUUGAAAACAGCCAUGGCGGGAGUAUUUAUAUCAUGAAAAUCUGCAAAUGCUGCAUAUAAAUACUUGACUUAUUGUUUUGUUUAUUAAUUAGAAUUAAAGCGAUGAAGAAAAUGUUAAUGAUGCAGAUUAAGAGUGUUGUGCCAUGGCACAAAAAACUGUAAGAGACGAAUAGAAAUAUAGGUCAAACUAGGGGAAUACAAGCCCAAAUGUCUCUCUAAAUAAACUUUUCUUUGACUUCUCUGAGAAAAGUUGAUUUGGAGGGAUAUUCUCCUCUUUGACACUGUUUUCUCCAACACUCUAAUUAAGUAAGGUCAAAAACUGUCUCUUAUUGGUCCCUUAAUUCCAAGUUCCCAGUACAGUGGUUUGUACAGUGAGUACAGAAUCUUUUAAGUAGUGCACAUGUAAGAUGUGAUGUGGAUUAAAACUCUGAUGCUCUACCACAUGAUUCUUAAAACCCAAAAGUUCUCAACUUAGCAGAAAGCCAGAUAUAGGACAAUAUAAUAUUUUCUAAGCUUUUUAGUGUUUAAAGUAUUUACAACUCAUUUACCUCAAAUUACAUUCAGUGGAGAUUCCCCAGACCAAAUUUUAGAGGGUCAGGGUCAGAUGGGAAGGAGUAUAUCUUAUUUCAUGUGAUAUUUUCAGAUUGCAGUUGACUAUGGAUAAUUGAAACUGAGGAAAGCGAAAUCACACAUAAGGGGGGAACUACUAUAUUUUAUUAAGGGAAACAAUCUGUUCCCAUAAAUCAAACCUCAGCUAGCAGAAUUAAAGGUAAACUUGAGGAGUUAGGGAUCAUCACGGUGAUGGGAAGAAGGACUAGAAUGUCCACAAGAACAUUUAGAACUUUGCUGCAUUUGGAAAGAAAAAGUAAAAAUUUCAGGCAUCAUAUUCACCAUUGACAUAGAAAUAGAAGUCUUACUAAAUGGGCUGGGUUUCUUAAUAUGGUUAAGUUAUGCAGAAAAUAGAACAAAGAUCGCCCCUUAGGAGAUAAACUUUGCUUAGAGGUACUGGGGAAGAUUAGCCUGUGAGUUUAUUUAAGUAUUUACGCUUUGAUUAUGCUCCUCAUACCCUCUGGAUGCUCAGUCAUAGAAAAAAAUGUGAUCCUUUAACUACGGGGUUAGAACAAAGGCCCAUUUUCUGCCCACUGCUUAUAGAAAUCAAGAGACAAAAUUUUACUUAGAGAGCUGUGGUCUAAUGGAAAUGUGGGUAUUCAGAAGUAGCUUCUGAAUUUAAAGUUGCAUUUAAAGUUGGCAUUUCUGUCCAAUCUGGUUGAGAAUCUGAAAGCAGUUCCACAUUUCUUCAUCAGGAAGUCAGGCUGACUUGUGAUGAAAGAUGAUGAAGACAAAUCCCAAACAGGGCUUCCUGUUUGUUUAAACCCCCAACCCAGGAGAAAAUCGCUUCCAAGUUUCCCUGUACAAUCACUGUAAUAUAUUUUCUUUUCAGAUUGUUAGCAGACUGCUCAGUUUGUGCUUGGCAUUUCAAUUAUAGUGAAAAAGGUGAAACCCAGAAGACUCAAGGAAUUCUCAUUAGGAGUCUGAAAUUACUUUUACAGUCUAAUGUAGAUAUGAAUAUGCUGAAUACAUGUACUUUGAUUAGAAAUGGAAGUAAAUAUCACUAAAGCCUAACAUAAUUCUUCUUCAUAAAAGGGGCAAAGAGGCUAUGAAGGAAUAAGACAUUUAUUGCUAAAAGCAUUUGUCUGCACACACACACACACACACACACACACCCACACACACACACACACACACACACCUGUUUUUUCUGGAGAACAAAUGGUAGAGUUUCUGCCCAUAAAGGAUGGGCAGCAUGUGUGUUCAUAUUUUAAAGCUGUCCAGCAAAUUCUACCUACCACAAGUUAACUGUCUAUUAGAACACAAGGAUUCCAUGUUCCUGUCCAUCAGCUUCUGUCAAUCUAGUGUGGCAGAAAUCUUCUGAACCUUCAGCCUAUUGAGAUAUACAUAAAUUCUAUCAAGAAACUCUAUAGAACAUGGCACUGUCUUUAUGAUUUGGAGUGCCAGUGGAACUUGGUCAUAAUCAGUUAGACCCUUAAACUAAAAUGCUCUGUAGGGGGUUUGUUCUGCUCCAUUUGGCUAAGUUCUUAAAGGUUACAGGAAGAUAGUGUACUUAUUGCUUAAGAUGAUGAUAAUUUAUAUUAAAAAAUAAAUACAGGCAUGUGAGCAGGAAGGGGAAAUUGCUUCAUUAAUUACCUGGUUAUCUUAUCAGGCCUCUAUUUUUUUUGUUUUCUGGAAUGCAGAGCAGGCUUCAUGAGGAGUACUGAAUUGCUUUGGCAGCAGCUAGCCAAGCUGAGUGAUUUGCAACACUCUUUGUUCACUCUGCAUUUAUGUUUCAUAAUGUGAGCGUCUGCCUGGGUGUGUUGGUGCCACUCUGGUUGGACUGAGUCCCAUGAAGCCAGAUCACUUCUGACUGCAAGGAGCUUGGAAAAGCAAGUAUCUGGAUCUUUUACCAGCUAAAUUUGGAGGGCUUGGCCUUGGGACCUGCUUAAACCAAGAGAUAUGCCACAUCCGAGCAGUUCUUUUCCUUGUGGCCCCUGCCAUGAGAGCAGCGUGUACAAGGUGGAUGCUGCUCCAUUAGCGUGGAUCCUGGGAUGAGAAGACUCAGGGAGCAGGCUCUGCCAACCCACAGUCUACAGCAGAGCCACAGCCAGCAGUAGUCCUCAUUCAACAGGAGGGGGAAAAAACUGCUCGUCAUCCUUAGCUCUGAGAUUUGGGGGUUGUUAUCACAGAAGAUACUGUCUCAUAGAAGUUUUUAAUAUGACUGCUACUACAACAACUAUUGCUAUAAUGUUUACAGCAAUCAUUGCUACUUUACGUUCCAACAGUAUUAUUGCUUGCAAGGGGCUAUCAAAUAGAUGAUCUUGUUGGAAACUCACAGCUACAAGGGCAGGUGAGGAAGCUGAAGUAAUGAGUAGGAGAAGUUAAUGAAUUAUCCCAGUUUUCAUAAAAGUUUUGUUUACAGACUUGACCAGCAGUAAAGCUAAGACGUUUGCAUGUGUUUUACCAGCCCUAUCAUUUUAGUAGGCCUUGAUUUCUGGAAGAUUAUUUUUCUCUGCAGAUUUUAUUCUUUUUUCCCCAUUUGUUUUAAUAAAUAGCAUCUUUCAGGCCAAGUAGAAAAGAGGAUGAAGUAUAUCCUGUAAGUCUAAGGAUGGCACAAUGGCAACCACUGUUAUGGAGCACUAACUGCUUUCUGGUAUUAUUGUUUAGUUAUGAGGGCAACCUAGGUUGUUCAUGUCUAUAUUUUCAAAUGUCUUUUCAUUUUCUAUCCUUUUAUUUUUAGUAGAGAUCUGUUAAGGAUUUUCACUCUCUUUCACUGGGCUGCUUUUCAAUCUUAUUUCACAGAUAGCAAUAUUAUAUUUCUACUAAAAAAAAAAAACGAACUAAAAACUGAUGUCGAAUUGUAAUUUCCACAGUUCCCACCUUUCAUGGGAGAAACCCAGUGGGAGGUGAUGAAUUAUGGGGGCAGGUCUUUCCUGCACUGUUCUCGUGAUAGUGAAUAAAUCUCAUGAGAUCAGAUGGUUUUAAAAAAUGAGUGUUUCCCUGCACAAGCUCUCACUUUGCCAGCUGCCAUCCAUGUAAGAUGUGACUUGCUCCUCCUUGCCUUCCACCAUGAUUGUGAGGCCUCCCCAGCCAUGUGAAACUGUAUGUCCAUUAAACCUAAUUUUCUUCGAGUCUCGUAGAUGUCUUUGUCAGCACUGUAAAAAUGGACUAAUACAGAGGCUGUUGUCUACUUAACUCGUUCAGAAAAAUGCAGCUUUUGAUAAAAUUUUGAACUAAAAAUUGGAGAUUGGGCUACUUCAAUUAUUUUUCAAAAACACCACUAAUACAUGAUUGGGUGGUUGGAGAUGGUCUGAGAGAUGGAUUUUUCCUGACAUAGAAAAUCAGCUAAUAUUCUCUUGAAUCAUACCUAUGUAGGUGAAGCCAGAUUUCUCGUUUAAAUAAUCUUUGGUUAGUGUGAGGUGCAGCCCAUUUCUGAAAGGUUAGGAGUCAGCUUUUGUUAGCUGAGCUUAGUUCAUUGAUUCCAUACUUUCAUUUAGAAGUUCCUUUUCUUCUCAAUUUGUAUUUUAGGAAUGAGAAGACCAUCCUGGAUAACACAGAGAGACCCUGUAUCUACCAAAAAAAAAAAAAAAAGUAAGACCUUGCCUUUAAAAAAAGGAAUGUGAAAACAUUAUUAAUAUUUACUUAUCUUAGCAAGGUUUUCUAUCCUAAUGCAGAAGUCAAUAUUAUGUUAGCCUCUCUUCAAUUACAAAAGAACUAUUAAAUAAGCCAAAAUUUUCUGAAAGUCAAUCUCCACUUAGUAGUUUUCUUAAAGAAUUGAUUAAUGGCUGAUAUAAUAAACCAUUUUUCUUUUGGCUGGAAAAAUACUGUUAAACCAUUCAAUUUCAUACCAAUAAAGCAGUUUUUAGACAAAUGUUAUAAUUGAACUGGAUAACUAUUAAUUUGAUUCAGACUUGCUAGGAUCAGCCAAGCAACCAGUAUUUGCUAGUCUGUUACAAUAAAGGGCCAUUCCCCUGCCUCAGCCUCCGGAGUAGCUGGGACUACAGGCGCCUGCCACUGCGCCCGGGAAUCACUUAAUCGUCAGCCUUUUCAGAGAAUGACGUCAGGCACGUAGGACUUGUAGAGGUCUAAACCCUCAUCCAGUACAAGUGUUGAAUAGAGACCACAUUCUGGUUGAAGACACUAAGCCAUCUUAUUUCAGCCUGAAUCUAGUAAUCAGAAGCUCACUAACUCUUGAUGCCUCCUGCUUGCUAGUUAGAUAACUCCAAAGAUUAGAGAGUACAUUAUUUUAUUGAGUAAUUUUUUUCUUUGUAAAUUUUUCUAAUUGUACUCUCUGGUGGAAUAUAAGCAAAUCUAUUUUAUAUUUUUUCCACUAUAAAUCUUUAGAUUGUAAUGUUAUUUCUUUGAAAUCAGGGACCAUAUAUCUUUCAUAUGCAUAUCCUUUCUCUGCUUAAUAUUAAUAUAAAAAACAUCUUUUGAGCACUAGGCACUGUGCCUGGUGUUUGUCAUAAAAAUGAAUAAGAUAUGAUUCCUUUCCUCAGGAAGGAUAUACAAAAAAAGGCUAUACAAAGUAUAUACAAAGAAAUGCAUACAAGCUGUGGUAUAAAUUGCUGUAAUGGAAGCAUGUACAAAAUGCUAAAGGAAGCUAAGAGAGCAUCUAAUAUGGCUUAGGAAAAGAGGCUGACCUAGCUAUGGAGAAAUUUUUUGGGUGAGUCUUAAAAGAGAAAUUUUCCUGGCAGAAAAAGAGGGGAAGAAUUUUGGCAGAUAAUUUUGUCUUUGGCAUGCUUAUAAUUCUAUCUACCUCUAGGAAACUGAUCAUUGAGAAAUAUUACCAUAAAUUUGGUAAUACAACAGAAGAUAUUAAAGGUCAUGAUCAGAUUCACUUUUUAGAACUACAAUCCUACAGCAGAAGUCUGAAAAGUAGACUUAAUGGGCCUAUCUGGCAUGACAUCUGUUUUUGUAGAUAAAGUUUUAUUGGAAUACAACCAUGCCAGUUUAAUUUAUGUAUUGUAUAUCUCAGUUUUUAUACUACAUCAGUAGAAUUGAGUAGUUGAAAUAGAGACCGCUGGCCUGCAAAGCUUAAAAUACUCUCUAGACCUUUAUGAAAAAAGUUUGCUGACUCCUACUCUAGAAGAUAGACUGAAAUGAAGGUGAAAAUAUCUGAAAAUAAAAUACAAUGAAAAUGAAUAAAAAAGUUAUUGCUAUGGUAAGACAAAUUAUAAAUUGAGCUAAGGAAGUAGCAACAGGAAUAGAGAGCAAUCAGAUGAUACAGAAUUUGGUGACUGACUGGAUAGAUCAUGAAGGCAAGGACGAUGAGGCUUCCUCUUUGAAGAUCACAGGUGAGAAGAUUAGGUGCUUUCUCAGAAGCCCAGCAACCUGAUGGGAGUGUGGAGUGAGCAAGACCCAAAUCGGAGCUUCAUCCCUGCAUGGUUCAUUUUGCUUAUUUGGCAAACUUGCCCUGCAGGUCUGGUGAAAAGAAUCAUCAACCAAGUAAACACAACUGAUAUUUUUUUUGGGAAAAAGUGCAAUACUUCUGGCAGAAAAUGUCCUGAUUCAUAAAAAGGUCAAACAAUAUCAUGGCAGUCAAAAUCAGAUCAUUUAAAUGAGGAAAAAAUUAGGGAUAUACAUUCAACAAAACAGUCAUAGACCAUGGAAACAGAAAGUCCCUAAAAAUGUUAAUAAUGUUGAUUUUUAUUGUUUUACCCUUUGUUUUCCAUUUUAUGCAACCAAGAUUUUCCCUUGCACCUUAGAAUGCUUUCUUUAAAAUGUCCUUGCUCUCUUAAUUUUCUGAGUUGCUACUUUCUCAUUUUCCUUGCUGAUUAUAAAACAACUGAAGGAUAAGAAACACAUGUUUUUCUAUAACUGUUUUUAAUUAAAUGUUUGGUAAACAAGAAUCUACUCAAGCUUCCUCAGUUUCUCAAAUCAUUCUUGGGCAACAAAUGAACAAGAAAGAGGACGUCUUAUUAUCUGGUGUCUGGCUUGCUGAUUUAAUAACCUAGGAGACAGUGUUUGAAGAACACAAACUCUAAAGUCCUUCACUUAAAAAAAAAAAAAAACUUUCCCAAAUUGCUUACCAUUUGGAAAAAUUGCCUUACCUUCUUCAGUCAUCUCUGAUGUUGUCAUCCUCAGAGUAAGAAGUACGCAUUCAUAAGGAACCAUAACGUCCUUCAGGAAAUCCAGUACACCCUACAAUUUUACCUAAAACUUUGAUGUUGUUUUUUCUGAGCAUUUUACCUUCUAGGGAAAUGGAUCUCAUGCUGUUUAUCAGUUUCUGAAAGUUGUUAUUAAUCUCCCCUCAUCCCAAAAUUGAAGAACUUUGCUUAAAUCUUAGAAUCAGAACUUUGGCUCCAGUAAUAAAGACUUUUCAAUAUCUUUAUCUGCCAUUGAGUCUUACCUAACGAAAUAAAGCCUCCAAAGUGGGAAUUUGAAAUGUUUUAGAAUCUUUUUUUUUCCUUUUGACAUAGUGAUUGGUGGGAUGCUACAGGCAGUUAGUGGUUAGGGUCCAGAAAUGCCAGACAUCUUGCAGUGAGAGGGAUAGUCUGUACAAGGAAGAUUGAGAAAUUAAGGUCGCAUCAUAUAAGUGAAGUUGAACACUACUUUUCUAAUACCCUACAUCAGGUACGUUCCUAAAUAAACUGGAACUUACCUCAGAAGCCUCAGAAAAUUAGGAAAAUAAAAUGCAUUACUUUGUAUAUUAAGAAGCUCAAAAUCCCAUAUUUGAUUCACUAUAGAAUUACUUCAGAAUCUCAUAUGUUGUUUAAGCAAAACCUGUCUCAUAUUAAAACAUACCUACUGCUGUGUUGUCUAUUUGCUUUUCUCUUUUUAAAUGCCCUUUUGAGAAAUGCUGCAAAAAUUUUGUCCUGACAUGUGGGGGCCCAACUGUUUCCUGCUAUACUCAGCUUGGAGGACAUAGCCUCUAGGUUAUACUCUUUUGAAAUUGUCCUGUUGAAAUGCAUGUUUUGAUUUUGGGAUUUUCCAGAUGCUUCCUAAGUAGGUCCCAUGUGUUAAAACUUGUGGAAAUUCAGCAUGUUUCUCAAUGUGAGGCAUCUAAGUAGUUCACAAAUUUAAGGCAAUUAGUCUAUUACUGGGAUAAGACGAUUAAUUCUAUUAUAUUCCAUUGUUUACAUAUUACUUGUUUAAUCCAUUUCCUAUUCUAUGCUUUGUUUUUUCAUUUGUCUGAAUUAUUAAAAGUCACUACAUUUUAACAUUUUAAGCAAUUUAAUUUUUAUAUAUAAUUAUAUCCUUUGGCUAUUUAAACUGAAGACACAUUGUAUAUGUAAAUC